rnacentral:rRNA from 1 species
GACGAACGCUGGCGGCGUGCUUAACACAUGCAAGUCGAACGGAAAGGCCCUGCUUUUGUGGGGUGCUCGAGUGGCGAACGGGUGAGUAACACGUGAGUAACCUGCCCUUGACUUUGGGAUAACUUCAGGAAACUGGGGCUAAUACCGGAUAGGAGCUCCUGCUGCAUGGUGGGGGUUGGAAAGUUUCGGCGGUUGGGGAUGGACUCGCGGCUUAUCAGCUUGUUGGUGGGGUAGUGGCUUACCAAGGCUUUGACGGGUAGCCGGCCUGAGAGGGUGACCGGCCACAUUGGGACUGAGAUACGGCCCAGACUCCUACGGGAGGCAGCAGUGGGGAAUAUUGCACAAUGGGCGGAAGCCUGAUGCAGCAACGCCGCGUGCGGGAUGACGGCCUUCGGGUUGUAAACCGCUUUCGCCUGUGACGAAGCGUGAGUGACGGUAAUGGGUAAAGAAGCACCGGCUAACUACGUGCCAGCAGCCGCGGUGAUACGUAGGGUGCGAGCGUUGUCCGGAUUUAUUGGGCGUAAAGGGCUCGUAGGUGGUUGAUCGCGUCGGAAGUGUAAUCUUGGGGCUUAACCCUGAGCGUGCUUUCGAUACGGGUUGACUUGAGGAAGGUAGGGGAGAAUGGAAUUCCUGGUGGAGCGGUGGAAUGCGCAGAUAUCAGGAGGAACACCAGUGGCGAAGGCGGUUCUCUGGGCCUUUCCUGACGCUGAGGAGCGAAAGCGUGGGGAGCGAACAGGCUUAGAUACCCUGGUAGUCCACGCUGUAAACGGUGGGUACUAGGUGUGGGGUCCAUUCCACGGGUUCCGUGCCGUAGCUAACGCUUUAAGUACCCCGCCUGGGGAGUACGGCCGCAAGGCUAAAACUCAAAGGAAUUGACGGGGCCCCGCACAAGCGGCGGAGCAUGCGGAUUAAUUCGAUGCAACGCGUAGAACCUUACCUGGGUUUGACAUGGAUCGGGAGCGCUCAGAGAUGGGUGUGCCUCUUUUGGGGUCGGUUCACAGGUGGUGCAUGGCUGUCGUCAGCUCGUGUCGUGAGAUGUUGGGUUAAGUCCCGCAACGAGCGCAACCCUUGUUCACUGUUGCCAGCACGUUAUGGUGGGGACUCAGUGGAGACCGCCGGGGUCAACUCGGAGGAAGGUGGGGAUGACGUCAAGUCAUCAUGCCCCUUAUGUCCAGGGCUUCACGCAUGCUACAAUGGCUGGUACAGAGAGUGGCGAGCCUGUGAGGGUGAGCGAAUCUCGGAAAGCCGGUCUCAGUUCGGGUUGGGGUCUGCAACUCGACCUCAUGAAGUCGGAGUCGCUAGUAAUCGCAGAUCAGCAACGCUGCGGUGAAUACGUUCCCGGG